rnacentral:rRNA from 1 species
UACGAAGGGGGCUAGCGUUGCUCGGAAUGACUGGGCGUAAAGGGCGCGUAGGCGGAUGGCACAGUCAGAUGUGAAAUUCCCGGGCUUAACCUGGGGGCUGCAUUUGAUACGUGUUGUCUAGAGUGAGGAAGAGGGUUGUGGAAUUCCCAGUGUAGAGGUGAAAUUCGUAGAUAUUGGGAGGAACACCGGUGGCGAAGGCGGCAACCUGGUCCUUGACUGACGCUGAGGCGCGAAAGCGUGGGGAGCAAACAGG